UCCCUGGAGGACUAGUGGUUAGGCCUUGGGGCUCUCACCGCCGGAGCCCAGGUUCGAUUCCCGGCCAGGGAA
rnacentral:tRNA from 2 species